AUCUGACUGUGGGUUUCCUCUUCUGCGCUUUCGGUUUUCCCUCGCCCCACUUCAGCUGUGCUGCAGCAGCCUGAGAGAAGAGGAAGAUUGUCUACAGUUUCUGCAUCCGGGAAGGCGAAGUCGGCCUCUGGAAGAGCAGGGUAUCUGCAGACAGUCUGUGGUUCGUCAGUGACUCGCGGGCGCCUCGUGUCUUCUGCUGCGUCCGAAGUUUUGACCUAGAUCAAGCUGUGAGGAUUGAAUGGAACCGCCUGACCAUCACAGCCCCCGGUGUAUUAUUACACAGAAGGCACUGUCAUUGCCUGUUUCUAACUGCCGAGCCAAACUUCUUGUAAAAUAAAAACCUCAGAGGGAUCAUUCUUCCCUCAAGGUCUGUGUUGGUCUCUGGAAUUUGUGUUUUGUGGUUGUGUUCAUAUAGUUCCUGUGUAUGUCUUGGCAAUGGGGGUUAAGUGACUUGCCCAAGGUCACACCGCUAUAGCCAGAAGCUACAGAGAAAAGGCACACCAAAAAAUCCUUCAGGAGCCAGCAGCAUGAACCCAGUCAUACUCCGAGGACAUCUGAAGCCUGCAGCACUCUAUCAAUGAUGGGAUGAUGAACCUUCAGGGUGAUUGGACACCCGUGGCACCUUGAUCAUCUAUGCUGGGCCUGAAGUUAGCAUAACUCAUACUAAUGCCCCAGGGACUCUGAAGUUUUGCAGCACUUUGAACUGAAAGGCUCUAGAGUUCCUGGAAGACUGCAGCACUCUUAAUCCAUAUAAACCAAGAAGAAAUGCACCAAAACUCUGACACAGAUACAUCUUUGGAAAUGGGAGUUAGAGACAGGAGCCUGGGUAAUUGUGGUCAGGACCCAAUGACCCCAGCCAAGAAUGUGGGAGUGGGAAGAGCCUAGUUCUAAUACAAAGUCCCAAAUCACAAACUGAGGUUUAGAGAUUUAAAGAAGACUUUAACCAUUUUUUAUCAUAAAAGUAUUUUAU